GUGAAUCAUCAAAUUUUUGAACGCAAAUUGCACUCUCUGGUAUUCCGGGGAGUAUGCCUGUUUGAGGGUCAGUUUAAAUAAAAAUCGGUGUGGUCGCUGCCUUUCGUGGUUACGCGCCGGAGUUGGGUCGUCUUGCCUCCGGUUAAGUGACCUAAAAUUGUGCAUGAUUUUUUCUAACGUAUUUAAAUGACUUUACGUACGUUUGCGAUAUCUUAUUCUAGGUAUGGUCAUCCU
rnacentral:misc_RNA from 1 species